CCUACGGGGCGCAGCAGUGGGGGAUAUUGCACAAUGGGGGGAACCCUGAUGCAGCGACGCCGCGUGGGUGAAGAAGCGCCUCGGCGCGUAAAGCCCUGUCAGCAGGGAAGAAAAUGACGGUAACUGAAGAAGAAGCCCCGGCUAACUACGUGCCAGCAGCCGCGGUACUACGUAGGGGGCAAGCGUUAUCCGGCUUUACUGGGUGGAAAGGGGGCGCAGACGGGGAUGCAAGCCAGGAGUGAAAGCCCGGGGCCCAACCCCGGGACUGCUCUUGGAACUGCGUGGCUGGAGUGCAGGAGGGGCAGGCGGAAUUCCUGGUGUAGCGGUGAAAUGCGUAGAGAUAAGGAGGAACACCGGUGGAGAAGGCGGCCUGCUGGACUGCAACUGACGUGGAGGCCCGAAAGCGUGGGGAGCAAACAGGAUUAGAUACCCCGGUAGUC
rnacentral:rRNA from 1 species